rnacentral:ncRNA from 1 species
CCUCAUGUUCCAUCAUGAGUAACCUACCGGCACAUGCGUCAGUGGCAACGCUGGGGUGUGAAGCUGCCGGGACAAAACUACCCGAGGGAUAGCAACAUCUUCAAGGGCGU